GCUGUCAUGGUUGAGUUGGUUGAAAACAGCGGUUUGCUAAACCGCCGACACGAGUAAUCGGUCCGAAGGUUCGAAUCCUUCUGACAGCGCCA
rnacentral:tRNA from 1 species